GGUGUGUGCCUAGUGGUUAGAGCGUCCGCCUCGGAUGCGGGAGGUCGUGGGUUAGAUCCCCGGUUGAGUCA